rnacentral:rRNA from 1 species
GACGAACGCUGGCGGCGUGCUCAACACAUGCAAGUCGAACGGAAAGGCCCUGCUUUUGUGGGGUGCUCGAGUGGCGAACGGGUGAGUAACAUGUGAGUAACCUGCCCUUGACUUUGGGAUAACUUCAGGAAACUGGGGCUAAUACCGGAUAGGAGCUCCUGCUGCAUGGUGGGGGUUGGAAAGUUUCGGCGGUUGGGGAUGGACUCGCGGCUUAUCAGCUUGUUGGUGGGGUAGUGGCUUACCAAGGCUUUGACGGGUAGCCGGCCUGAGAGGGUGACCGGCCACAUUGGGACUGAGAUACGGCCCAGACUCCUACGGGAGGCAGCAGUGGGGAAUAUUGCACAAUGGGCGGAAGCCUGAUGCAGCAACGCCGCGUGCGGGAUGACGGCCUUCGGGUUGUAAACCGCUUUCGCCUGUGACGAAGCGUGAGUGACGGUAAUGGGUAAAGAAGCACCGGCUAACUACGUG